UGUGAAGUGUGUGUGUGGUGGGGGUUGGGAGGGGUAUGAAGAGAGGUUGGUUAAUGAAUACAAGCAUACAGUGAAAUAGAAGAAAUAAGCUCUAAUAUAUGACAGCAGAGUAUGAUGACUAUAGUUUACAAAAAUGUAUCGUAAAUUUCAAAACACCUAGAAGAAAGGACUUGAAAUGUUACCAACACACAGAAAUAGUAAAAAUUCUAGGUGAUGGAUACUCCAAAUACCUUGACUUAAUAAUUGCACAUGCUAUGAAUGCAACAAAAUAUCACAUGCAAAUAUGUGAUGAACCAGUGCAUGAAUUAGCUACGAGGAUAGCCACAAUUUGAUGGUGCCCUAUAACUUCUCUGCCCCUUUCAUUAAUGACCAGCUCCAUCUCCCAGCUCCCUGGCCUUGUUGUUUCCCUUAUCCACGAAAUGGGUGAAUUAUAGCAUUUGUUUUGUAA
rnacentral:lncRNA from 1 species